rnacentral:tRNA from 1 species
GGAGAGAUGGCUGAGUGG